rnacentral:ncRNA from 1 species
UGCUGGCCGGGAGAAUAGGGAAGCAGGUGUGAAACCUGCGCGGGACCGCCGCCGUAAUGGAGGAGUUUGAGGUUCAUCAAUGCCACUGUGCACACAGCAUGGGAAGGUAAGACCUCAAGCGUGGACGCCAGAGCCGGAAGACCUGCCUUGUUGUUU